CAGGCCACUGGUACUCCACAGUGCUGCUGAAGCUAUUGGGAGGGGAGGGUUUUUCUGUCAAUAAAACCUCUUCUGUGAUUCUUCCAUAAGAGAAAUUCUUUUUUAUGUAAAUAAUUGAAACGUUAACAUUCCUGAACGAAUUGCCGGAACAUUAUAACAAAUUUUCAAGAUGUCGACGUCUGCGAUAUAUAUUUUAGACGUGAAGGGGAAGGUUUUGAUUUCACGAAAUUAUCGUGGAGACAUAGAAACGGGUGUUAUAGAAAAGUUCAUGCCUCUCGUAAUGGAACGCGAGGAGGAGGGCAAUCUUACUCCGAUCAUACAAACCACAGAAUGCACAUAUGCAUAUAUAAAGUACAAUAAUUUGUAUAUCGUAUCCACUACAAAGAAGAAUGCAAACAUUUCCUUAGUAUUUGUAUUCUUGCAUAAACUGGUGCAAGUGAUGCAAGAAUAUUUCAAGGAAUUGGAAGAAGAAAGCAUACGAGAUAAUUUUGUAGUCAUUUACGAGCUUCUAGAUGAAUUAAUAGAUUUUGGGUAUCCGCAAACUACCGAUAGUAAGAUAUUACAAGAGUACAUUACGCAGGAAGGACAUAAACUUGAAAUUCAACCGCGCAUUCCCAUGGCUGUGACUAAUGCUGUAUCCUGGAGAUCAGAAGGUAUAAAAUACCGUAAAAAUGAAGUGUUUCUAGACGUGAUAGAGUCUGUGAAUCUUCUUGCAAAUGCUAAUGGAAAUGUUUUAAGUUCUGAAAUUGUGGGUGCAAUAAAGAUGAGAGUUUAUUUGUCUGGAAUGCCAGAAUUAAGACUCGGUCUUAACGACAAAGUAUUAUUCGAAUCUACAGGCCGUGGGAAGUCCAAAUCUGUGGAAUUGGAAGAUGUGAAAUUUCAUCAGUGCGUCAGAUUGUCUAGAUUCGAGAACGACAGAACAAUUUCAUUCAUUCCUCCCGAUGGAGAGUUUGAAUUAAUGUCUUACAGACUGAAUACACACGUGAAACCUCUGAUAUGGAUCGAAUCUGUCAUUGAGAGGCAUGCCCACAGCAGGGUAGAAUACAUGGUAAAAGCGAGAUCGCAAUUUAAGAGACGUUCUACGGCCAACAAUGUAGAAAUAGUAAUCCCAGUACCCAACGAUGCAGACUCGCCCAAAUUUAAGACUACCAUCGGUAGUGUUAAAUAUUCACCAGAGCAGAGUGCAAUAACUUGGUUCAUUAAGUCGUUUCCUGGUGGUAAAGAAUAUCUGAUGAGGGCACACUUUGGUCUACCAUCUGUCAUUGGGGAAGACGUGGAAGGGAAGCCACCAAUUCAAGUAAAAUUUGAGAUUCCGUAUUUCACUACUUCUGGAAUCCAAGUGCGCUAUUUGAAAAUUAUAGAAAAGAGUGGGUAUCAGGCACUACCAUGGGUGCGGUAUAUCACGCAAAAUGGAGAUUACCAGCUGAGGACGAAUUAAACGUAAGAAAUUUAUGGAGGAAAAAGGCAGAAUGUUUGACACAUUACGUUAAUGUUAAUCAGAAAUGCAAAACUAGUCGGUUUGCUACGCUUGGUACGCUUCCGAACACAUUUACAAUUAAAUUUAUGGCAAGUUUCGGAAACGAUCGUGAUCCGUAUAAAAACUGAGAUUUUGUAGAGAAUGUAAAACUAGUGUUUGCGAUAUUGACUAAUUAUCGUCAUUGAUCUUUAUUCGAUACAGUAUAAUUAUAUAUUAGUAUAAUUUUAAUUCCUUUUGCUGUUUUGACACUUUAACAUUUUUUCCGUGUUUUUCAUGUUCUGUAUAUAAUUCUUUAAGAACACUUGCAGUAAUUUCUUCUCAUCGUACUAUAAACUAUGGAAAUGCAAAGUACGUACUUAAUUUACUAGUUGUAAUACGGUUUGAUCCUAUAUUAUAAAUAUGUAUUCCAAUGAAAUUAUCCAAUGUAAAAAAGAAACAGAAAAAUUGUAAAUAUAUAGAAAGUUAUAGUAUUUGAGUGUUUUCAUGGAAUUGUUAACGAAUUAAUAGGCGUUUCCCUGUACUAUCAUAAUCUGUAAUAGUAUUAUAGACUUAUUAUUGUAUGUCAGUAUGACAACGAAUAAUAAUAUUGUUUUUAUUGUAAUAAUAAUUUAAGAUACACAGAA